rnacentral:rRNA from 1 species
GACGAACGCUGGCGGCGUGCCUAAUACAUGCAAGUAGAACGCACAGUUUAUACCGUAGCUUGCUACACCAUAAACUGUGAGUUGCGAACGGGUGAGUAACGCGUAGGUAACCUGCCUGGUAGCGGGGGAUAACUAUUGGAAACGAUAGCUAAUACCGCAUAAUAUUGAUUAUUGCAUGAUAAUUGAUUGAAAGAUGCUAUUGCAUCACUACCAGAUGGACCUGCGUUGUAUUAGCUAGUAGGUGAGGUAACGGCUCACCUAGGCGACGAUACAUAGCCGACCUGAGAGGGUGAUCGGCCACCCGGGGACUGAGACACGGCCCAGACCCCUACGGGAGGCAGCAGUAGGGAAUCUUCGGCAAUGGACGAAAGUCUGACCGAGCAACGCCGCGUGAGUGAAGAAGGUUUUCGGAUCGUAAAGCUCUGUUUUAAGAGAAGAACGGGUGUGGGAGUGGAAAGUUCAAACUGGGACGGGAUCUUACCAAAAAGGGACGGCUAACUACGU